rnacentral:lncRNA from 1 species
AAAGAACUGCUCUUGGUCUUGGGAAUAUCAUAGCAUAGGAAGGAAGACAAUCUCUCCUCGAAGAUGGAUGGCAUACAGGGGGGAUCUAUUGAGAACUACGAAGAAGUGAUUUAAAGAUUUUCUUGGAAUGGAAGAUCCGCUUGAAGUUCAUCGUUUGUUCAUCCAUCCGCUCCACCUCGACCAGCCUAGGUCCCCAACAGAGAUAUUUGAUAUUGGUUUGGUGGACAGAGCCUGGGUCGCCAAGCCCAAGCCCCCCGACAGAGAGUAUGGAUCACUAUGUCU